UGAGGAAUAUUGGGCAAUGCCCGAAAGGGUGACCCAGCAACGCCGCGUGGAGGAUGAAGGUCGUAAGAUUGUAAACUCCUGUUAGAGGGGAAGAAUAACUAAGUUUGGAGCUUAGUAUGACUGUACCCUCAGAGAAAGCCCCGGCUAACUCCGUGCCAGCAGCCGCGGUAAUACGGAGGGGGCUAGCGUUGUUCGGAAUUACUGGGCGUAAAGCGUACGUAGGCGGAUGCGCAAGUUGGGGGUGAAAUCCCGGGGCUUAACCUCGGAAUUGCCCUCAAAACUGCACGUCUUGAGACCGAGAGAGGUAAGGGGAAUUCCUAGUGUUGAGGUGAAAUUCGUAGAUAUUAGGAAGAACACCAGUGGCGAAGGCGCCUUACUGGCUCGGUACUGACGCUGAGGUACGAAAGCGUGGGGAGCAAACA
rnacentral:rRNA from 1 species